rnacentral:lncRNA from 1 species
AUUGAACCAUGGCAUCACGGAAUGAACAUUGGGUUAGGAAUCCGGAGUUCUGAGUCCACAUCCUGCCCCUGGGAUAACAGCAUUUUGAAUGUGAACAUUACUUCUGAGAAGCAUAAGAUGCCACACAAAUGCAAUAUGUUAUAAUUAUUGGUGGAAGGAAAAGAGAGUACAAUCGCAGAUAAUUUCUGAAAUCUGGGCCAAGGACCAGAGCCCGGUUGGUGCCGGAGAUUUCAGAAAUGAAUCCAGUGCCAAUGCUUGUGUGAAGGAAGGAGACUGAUCCUCUGGAUUUGCAGAGGCCUGGAAAAUACCUUCAGUGAUGAAAAACAUCUAUUUGGACUCAGCAGCCUCCAAUAAGUAGGCGGAUUAUCCAGCUUCCUUCAUUCAGAACUGACUGGACUUGUUGGACGACUUCAUAACUAUCAGGAAGGAAGAAGAAGGGAUGUGCGUGUUCAGUCUAGUGCAAAUAGAAAACACGCUGAGAUGGAGGAUGGCGAGACGAGCGUCUUUCUAUAUGAAGGGCUGGGGCAUAAAGCAGUUAAGAAACUGAACUGUGACGGAGCCAAGAUUUGAACCCCACUCGGCUGAGUCUUAGCCAGCAUUGCCUUUGAGGAUGGCUCGGUCUUUCCCCACUUUCCAUGGCUCUUCUUGCAGAAUUCUCAGCUGACUGGGUAGGACUGAAGCACCCUGAAGCGGAGAAGGAUUUGGACUCAGUAGAAAGGAGGGGGAAGCAUUCCAGGUGGGUAGCUGUGAGUUUACGGGUGGCUGUCUGAGGAGGGACUGAAACCCUGAGCAAUGUCGUCAGCCUCAGCCACCUCACGCCCCUGUGCUGCAGCCACCCUGAAUUUUCCCACUCUGAACCCACUGGGCGAUUUCUGCUGCUUUGUCUGCCUUUGCAAAGCUUUUCCCUCUGCCUGGACCACACUUUUGCGAUGGUGUAUAAUAAACUGAUUGUAGAAGACAGAGUUUAUUUUCAAAAGGAAGUUUUAUUCUCCCAUACUUAGCC